rnacentral:lncRNA from 1 species
GGGAGUAGAAAUAUUAGGAAAAUUUCAUUUGUAUUAAUUUAGCCAUUUUUAAUUUUUUUUUGCUUGGUUCUUACAGAUUCUUUUGGUUUAUAACUAGAGGUAACCCGUUAGAAUUAAGAGUUUUUUAUAGUGAAAUUGAAAAGACUGUUCAUAGAAAUCGGAGAGAAGAUAGAGAAGCAAAGCAAUGUCAAUAGGUUUUAAUAGACGAUCAAGAGAAAAAGGAC